GACGAACGCUGGCGGCGUGCUUAACACAUGCAAGUCGAACGGCGAACCUCUUCGGAGUGGCUCAGUGGCGUACGGGUGAGUAACCCGUGGGCAACCUGCUCCCGGCUCUGGGAUAACUCCAAGAAAUUGGGGCUAAUACCGGACGUUCACCGCUUCCCGCCUGGGUGGUGGUGCAAAGGGUUUCCGGCUGGGGAUGGACCCGCGGCCUAUCUGCCAGUUGAUCGAGUAGUGGCCUACGAAGGCGACGACGGCUAGCCGGCCUGAGUGGGUGAACGGCCACACUGGUACUAAGAGAGGGCGCAGUGGGCAACGUGGGGCAGUGGGCGGAAGCAUUGCGCAGUGGGCGGAAGCGUGUCACGACGGCGCUGGGUUGGUGAUGACCGCCUUUGGGUAGAGAACAUCAUUCAGCAAAGACGAAGCUGAAGUGACGGUACCUACAGAAGAAGCACCGGCCAACUUCGUG
rnacentral:rRNA from 1 species